AACCUAGCACACCUGCGGUGUGUACCUGCGGAGGGAUCAUUACCUAGAGUUGUAGGCUUUGCCUGCUAUCUCUUACCCAUGUCUUUUGAGUACCUUACGUUUCCUCGGUGGGCUCGCCCACCGAUUGGACAAAUUUAAACCCUUUGCAGUUGGAAUCAGCGUCUGAAAAAACUUAAUAGUUACAACUUUCAACAACGGAUCU
rnacentral:misc_RNA from 1 species